UACGUAGGGUCCGAGCGUUAAUCGGAAUUACUGGGCGUAAAGCGCGCGCAGGCGGUUUUGUAAGACGGAUGUGAAAUCCCCGGGCUCAACCUGGGAAUUGCGUUGGAGACUGCAAGGCUGGAGUCUGGCAGAGGGGGGUAGAAUUCAACGUGUAGCAGUGAAAUGCGUAGAGAUGUGGAGGAACACCGAUGGCGAAGGCAGCCCCCUGGGUCAAGACUGACGCUCAUGCACGAAAGCGUGGGGAGCAAACAGG
rnacentral:rRNA from 1 species